UACGUAGGGGGCUAGCGUUGUCCGGAAUCAUUGGGCGUAAAGAGCGUGUAGGCGGUCCGGUAAGUCCGCUGUGAAAGUCGGGGGCUCAACCCUCGAAUGCCGGUGGAUACUGUCGGGCUAGAGUGCGGAAGAGGCGAGUGGAAUUCCUGGUGUAGCGGUGAAAUGCGUAGAUAUCUGGAGGAACACCGGUGGCGAAGGCGGCAUCCUGGACCGACACUGACGCUGAGGAGCGAAAGCCAGGGGAGCAAACGGG
rnacentral:rRNA from 1 species